AUAUUUACCUGGCAGAGGAGAUACCAUGAUCAUGAAGGUGGUUUUCUCAGGGUGAGGCUCAUCCAUUGAACUACGGGUCUGCUGACCUCUGCGAUUUCCCCAAAUAGGGGAAACUCGACUUUAUAAUUUGUGGUAGUGCGGGACUGCAUUCAUGCUUUCCCCUG
ensembl:snRNA U1 U1 spliceosomal RNA